CUCCCUACGGGGCGCAGCAGUAGGGAAUCUUCCACAAUGGGCGAAACCCUGAUGGUGCGACGCCGCGUGGGGGAAUGAAGGUCUUCGGAUUGUAAACCCCUGUCAUGUGGGAGCAAAUUAAAAAGAUAGUACCACAAGGGGAAGAGACGGCUAACUCUGUGCCAGCAGCCGCGGUAAUACAGAGGUCUCAAGCGUUGUUCGGAAUCACUGGGCGUAAAGCGUGCGUAGGCUGUUUCGUAAGUCGUGUGUGAAAGGCGCG
rnacentral:rRNA from 1 species